AAAUUGAAGAGUUUGAUCAUGGCUCAGAUUGAACGCUGGCGGCAGGCCUAACACAUGCAAGUCGAGCGGAAACGAGUUAUCUGAACCUUCGGGGGACGAUAACGGCGUCGAGCGGCGGACGGGUGAGUAAUGCCUAGGAAAUUGCCCUGAUGUGGGGGAUAACCAUUGGAAACGAUGGCUAAUACCGCAUAA
rnacentral:rRNA from 1 species